AUCAGUGAGUAUCAACAAGAACUUCAUGCAAAGAAACUUGCCAAGCUGGGAGAGAAUUCCACAGUUUUGGAGCAUAUGAUGAGAAGGCUCUGUCAUCCCUGAAACGAAGCUGUGUUUUUGGAAACAGCUAAGAGACCACCCUGAGAAGAUCAAAAAUUCUGUUUUGCUGUAAGCAGACUGGAGAGUGACAGUGAAAGUCUUCUGUGGGGAACACAUUCAGUCCAGCGAUUACCAUGAGUUUUGGGUGAGUUGAAAUUUAUGUGCUUUCUACAGGAUAAUAAUCCACGGCUAGUUGUGCACAGUGCACUACUCGAUUUUAAUGCACGACAUGGUGGCAAUAAUCAACUGA